GUCUACGCCGUAAACGAUGCACACUAGGCUCGGGAGUCUCUGACGGCGUCCGAGCCGCAGUAAAAUGCUAAGUGUGCCGCCUGGGGAGUACGGCCGCAAGGCUAAAACUCAAAGGAAUUGACGGGGGCUCACACAAGCGGUGGAGCAUGUGGCUUAAUUCGAAGCAACGCGAAGAACCUUACCCGGGUUUGACAUGCUUGGAUGCUUUCCGGGGAUAACUCGGAAAGUUACCCUUCUGGGUGAAACUUGCACAGGUGUUGCAUGGCUGUCGU
rnacentral:rRNA from 1 species